rnacentral:rRNA from 1 species
GACGAACGCUGGCGGCGUGACUAAUACAUGCAAGUCGAACGCAGUGGGGACGGGUGAGUAACAAGUGGGUAACCUCCCAUCAGAGGGGAUAACACUUGGAAACAGGUGCUAAACCGAUAUUGAUGUAAGGACCCGCGGUGAAUUAGCUAGUUGGUGAGGUAACGGCGAAGCAAGGCCACGAUGCAUAGCCGACCUGAGAGGGUGAUCGGCCAUACUGGGACUGAGACACGGCCCAGACUCCUACGGGAGUCAGCAGUAGGGAAUCUUGGACAAUGGACGAAAGUCUGACCGAGCAACGCCGCGUGAGUGAAGAAGGUUUUCGGAUCGUAAAACUCUGUUGUUAGAGAAGCGUUAUCUAACCAGAAAGCCACGGCUAACUCCGUGCCAGCAGCCGCGGUAAUAC